rnacentral:rRNA from 1 species
UAGAGGAAGUAAAAGUCGUAACAAGGUUUCCGUAGGUGAACCUGCGGAAGGAUCAUUAUCGAAUAAACUUGAUCAGGUUGUUGCUGGCCUUUUGAAGGCAUGUGCACACUUGUCAUCUUUAUUUCUCCAACUGUGCACAUAUUGUAGACCAUGGAUGUUGUUGCUAAUAGCAGAUUUGAGAAGUGCUCAGCUUUCUCUUAUGCAAGGUCUAUGUUAUCCAUCUUUUACACACUGUUUUAGAAUGUUUUUUUYUGGAAAUACAAAUGUACAACUUUCAGCAACGGAUCUCUUGGUUCUCGCAUCGAUGAAGAACGCAGCGAAAUGCGAUAAGUAAUGUGAAUUGCAGAAUUCAGUGAAUCAUCGAAUCUUUGAACGCAACUUGCGCUCCUUGGUACUCUGAGGAGCAUGCCUGUUUGAGUGUCAUUAAACUUCUUCUCAACCCAUCCAGUUUCUCUGUGUGUGGGCUUUGGACAAUUGGGGGCUUGCUGGUUACUAUUUGUCCAGCUCUCCUGAAAAGCAUUAGCGGCAUCUGGGCUGCUUGCAGGUGUGAUAACUUGUCUACACCUUUGCAGUGGCUGCAUUUGUGCUGCUUCAGAGGGCAUUGAUGAAAUUUGACCUCAAAUCAGGUAGGACUACCCGCUGAACUUAAGCAUAUCAAUAAGCGGAAGAAAAGAAACUAACAAGGAUUCCCCUAGUAACUGCGAGUGAAGCGGGAAAAGCUCAAAUUUGAAAUCUGGCGGUCUUUGAUCGUCCGAGUUGUAAUCUAGAGAAGUUGUUACCUGUGCAGGACCAUGUACAAGUCUCCUGGAAUGGGGCAUCAUAGAGGGUGAGAAUCCCGUCUUUGACAUGGACUACCUGCAUGUUGUGGUGCGCUCUCAAAGAGUCGAGUUGUUUGGGAAUGCAGCUCAAAAUGGGUGGUAAAUGCCAUCUAAAGCUAAAUAUUGGCGAGAGACCGAUAGCGAACAAGUACCGUGAGGGAAAGAUGAAAAGCACUUUGGAAAGAGAGUUAAACAGUACGUGAAAUUGCUGAAAGGGAAACGCUUGAAGUCAGUCACAUUGGCCAGAAAUCAGCCUUGCUUUUGUGAGGUGUACUUUCUGUUUGAUGGGUCAGCAUCAAUUUCGAUCGCUGGAUAAAGUCUCUGGGAAUGUGGCAUCUUCGGAUGUGUUAUAGCCCAUUGUCACAUGCAGCGGUUGGGAUUGAGGAACUCAGCACGCCGAAAGGCCGGGUUUCGACCCAUGUCCGUGCUUAGGAUGCUGGCAUAAUGGCUUUAAUCGACCCGUCUUGAAACACGGACCAAGGAGUCUAACAUGCCUGCGAGUGUUUGGGUGGAAAACCCAUGCGCGCAAUGAAAGUGAAAGUUGAGAUCCCUCUAGUAGGGGAGCAUCGACGCCCGGACCAGACCUUUUGUGACGGAUCCGCGGUAGAGCAUGCAUGUUGGGACCCGAAAGAUGGUGAACUAUGCCUGAAUAGGGUGAAGCCAGAGGAAACUCUGGUGGAGGCUCGUAGCGAUUCUGACGUGCAAAUCGAUCGUCAAAUUUGGGUAUAGGGGCGAAAGACUAAUCGAACCAUCUAGUAGCUGGUUCCUGCCGA